UAUUAUAUGAAUUGACUAGUUAAGGUGUUUGUUACUUACUGGGCUGUCUAGCUCAUUAUACGAUUUCUUACUGUUUUUACAAAUCCGAAGAAUUAGCUCGAUCCGAGGUUUUACAAUAUGGAAGAGCGAAUAAAAAAAUUAUGACACAAGUUAUCUUAGAUUAGGGACAAUAGUUGUCUGCCUUGGAAGAAAACAAAAACAAAGAAAAAGAGAAAUCUGAUACUGUUGGGAAUUCGAUAAUAUGGGCAAAGAAGGAUUAACGAAGCCAACUUCAGAUAGCUAGCAUCAAAUUAAUAUGUUUGUGUUUAUGUGCAGUCGGUGAAUGGCUUGCUUUUAACUCGUAUAAGUUAAAUAUUGUCAUUUGUGUCUCAUUUAUUGCUCUUGUUGAGCCUAUCAUCUUCCAGGCGGCAUCUCAACAUGAUAGCUGCAAGAUGCUUCCAUGAUAAUUGCUUUAUUCUGGUCUGAAUUAUAAGUCAUUCUCAGUUCUUGA